rnacentral:rRNA from 1 species
AUUGAACGCUGGCGGCAGGCCUAACACAUGCAAGUCGAACGAGUGGCGGACGGGUGAGUAACGUCUGGGAAACCGCCCGAUGGAGGGGGACAACUACUGGAAACGGUAGCUAAUACCGCAUACCCUAGGAUGUGCCCAGAUGGGAUUAGCUAUUAGGGGGGGUAACGGCUCACCUAGGCGACGAUCCCCAGCUGGUCUGAGAGGCUGACCGGCCACACUGGAAUUGGUACACUGUCCGGACUCCUACGGUGGGCAACAGUGGGGAUUAUUGCACAAUGGGCGCAGGCCUAAUGCGGCCAUGCCGCGUAUAUAGAGAAGGCCUUCGGGUUGUAAGGUACUUUCAUCGAGAAGGCGGUACUCGCAGAGGAAGCACCGGCUAACUCCGUGCCAGCAGCCGCGGUAAUUC